rnacentral:rRNA from 1 species
UACCAGCACCCCGAGUGGUCGGGACGAUUAUUGGGCCUAAAGCAUCCGUAGCCGGUCUUGCAAGUCUUCCGUUAAAUCCAGCUGCUUAACAGAUGGGCUGCGGAAGAUACUACAAGACUAGGAGGUGGGAGAGGCAAGCGGUACUCAGUGGGUAGGGGUAAAAUCCAUUGAUCUACUGAAGACCACCAGUGGCGAAGGCGGUUUGCCAGAACGCGCUCGACGGUGAGGGAUGAAAGCUGGGGGAGCAAACCGG